rnacentral:lncRNA from 1 species
CCUGCUUGGAAGUCUUUCUACCCUCUCCCGCUUGCACAGGCAUGUGCUCUCUCUCUCUCUCUCUCUCUCAGAUAAAUAAACAAACUUCAAAAAUCUAUAGGGGUACCUGGAUGGUUCAGUUGGUUAAGCGUCCAACUUCGGUUCAGGUCGUGAUUUCAUGGUUCAUGGGUUCGAGCCCCACUUUGGGCUCUGUGCUGACAGCUAGGAGCCUGGAGCCUGCUUGGAAUUAUGUGUCUCCCUCUCCCUCUACCCCUAUCCUACCCACACCCUGUUUCUCUUUGUCUCUCAAAAAUGAAUAAACGUUAAAAAAAUUUUAAUUAAAAAAAAUCUAGAGUCAAAGAGCAGAAAUUCUUAAUUGUGAUAUAGUACACUAUCACUUUUUUCUUUCAUGAACUGUGAUUUUGAUGUUCUAUCUAAGAAAUCUUUGCCUAAUCAUAAAUCAUAAAAAUUUCCUCCUAUGUUUUUUUCUAGGAAUUUUAUAGUUUUAGAUUUCAUAUUUAGGUCUGUGAUGUAUUUUGAGUUGAUUUUUGUAUAUAGUGCAAGGUAUGGAUUAAAGUUCUAUUCCCCCUCCUUUGCCCCCAUAUAGAUGUCCAACUAUUCUAGCACUAUUUGUUGAAAAGACUAACUUUUCUCCACUGAACUACCUUUGCUCCUUUACUGACCACCAGUUGUCCAUAUAUCUGUGGGUCUAUUUCAGGACUCUAUUCUGAUUCAUGUAUCUAUUUAUCUAUCUUGACCCUAAUGGUUGACACUGACAAUUACUGUAUCUUUAUAGUAAGUCUUGAAAUCAAACAGUGUUAACCUUCUUUUUAAAUUAUUUUUAAAGUUAUUUUGGCUAUCCAAGGUCUUUGCAUUUCCAUAUCAAUUUUAAAAUUAUCUUGUCAAUUUCUAUAGUAAACUCUGCUAAGAUUUUGAUUGGGAUUGUUUUGAAACUAUACACUGAUUUGAGUUAUAAUUGAUAUUUUAACAAAAUUGAGUCUUCUGAUCCAUGAACAUUAUUUAUAUCUCCAUUUAUUAGAUCUUCUUUAAUUUCUUUUAGCAGUGUUUUGUAGUUUUCAAUCUACAGAUCUUACACACAUCUUGUUGGAGAUAAUCUGUAACUAUAUUUUUUGAUACUGUUAUAAAUGACAUUAUUUUUAAAAUUUUAGUUUCUGAGGGGUGCCUGGGUGGCUCAGUUGGUUAAGCGUCCGACUUCAGCUCGGGUCAUGAUCUCACGGUCUGUGAGUUCAAGCCCCGCGUCGGGCUCUGUGCUGUCAGUUCAGAGCCUGGAGCCUGCUUCAGAUUCUGUGUCUCCCUCUCUCUGUCUGCCCCUCCCCCACUCAACUCUGUCUCUCUAUCAAAAAAUGAAUAAACGUUAAAAAAAAUUUUAAUUUUAGUUUCUGAUUAUUCAUUGCUUUUAUAUAAAUGUAAUCUUUUAUAUUGAUUUUGUAUCUCGAAAACUUGGUAAACUUUUUUACAAGUUCUUGUAGUGUUUUGUUGUUGAUUCCAUAGGGUUUUCUACAUAGAUGAUCAUAUCAUGUGUGAGUAAAGACAGGUUUAGUUCUUCCUUUCUAAUCUCCAUACAGUUUGUUUUUUUCUCUUGCCUUACUGCAUUAGCUAGAUCAUCAGUACAAAUUUGAACAGAAGUAGCGAGAAUGAACAUCUUUUUCUUCUUUCUGAUCUUAGCACAAAAGCAUUCAGUCUUUCAUUUUAUUUUACCUUUAAGUAUGAUGUAGGGUUUUUAUAGAUGCUUUUUAUCAAGUUAAGGAAUUUCCCUCUAUUCUUAGUUUGCUGAAAUAUGUUUUUUCUUUUUUUAAAUUUUUUUUUAACGUUUAUUUAUUUUUGAGACAAAGAGAGACAGAGCAUGAAUGGGGGAGGAUCAGAGAGAGAGGGAGACACAGAAUCCGAAACAGGCUCCAGGCUCUGAGCGGUCAGCACAGAGCCCGAUGCGGGGCUCGAACCCACGGACCGCGAGAUCAUGACCUGAGCCGAAGUCGGCCGCUUAACCGACUGAGCCACCCAGGCGCCCCUGAGAUAUGUUUUUUCUAUAAAAAAUAAUGUACUUUGUCAAAUGCUUUUCUACCUCUGUUUUGAUGAUUUUGUGUGUUUUUCCUUUUUACACUAUUAAUAUGCUGAAUUACAUGAUUUGUUAAAUGUUCUAUCAACUUUGAAUUUCUGGGGUAAAGUCCAGAACAAUGCCAUUUGCUUGAUCAUGAUAUAUUAUCCUUCUUACAUGUUUUUAGAUUUGACUUACCUUUUAGUUGACACUUUACUGCAUAUUCAUGAGGGCUAUUGGUCUGAAAUUUUCUUAUCUACUAAUGCUGUCAUUUGCAACGGUGGGCUCACAGAAUAAGUUGAUAAGUAUUCCUUCCUCUUUAACUUUCUCAAGGAGUUUGUGUAUUGUUUCUUUCUUAAAAAUUUGAUAGAUUUCACCAAGGAAGCUAUCUGGUCUUUGAGUUUUGUUUUUUCCUAAGAAAGUUGUUAACUACAAAUUCAAGUUAUUUCUUCUUGAGUGAACUUUGUUUGAUUAUGUUUUUCAAGGAAUUUAUCCAUUUAAAUUGUCAAAUUUAGAGGCAUUUAUUAUUUAUUUUAUAGACAGAGUUGUUCGUAAUGUCUUCUUAUUGCUUUGAUAUCUGUAGAAUCCAUAGUGCUGUCAUUUUUCUGAUUCUGGUUAUUGGGUUAAUUUAUGUCUUUUCUCUUUUUUUUCUAUUCACUUUGGUUAGAGGCUUAUAAAUUUGAUUGAUUUCAAAGAAUCAACUUUUGAUUUUAAUGAAUUUCUCUAUUGUUUUUCUAUUUUCUGUUUCAUUGAUUGUUCAUUGAUUUUUAUUUAUUAUUUUCUUUCUUAUGCUUACUUGGCUUUAACUUACUUUUCUUUUUCUAGUUUCUUAACGUGGGAGCUUGGAAUUUGAGACUUUUCUUUUAUUUUUUAGCAUAGGCAUUUCAGUGCUAUAAAUUUCCCCAUAAGCACUGCUUUAGCAGCAUGGUAUAAAUUCUAAAAUGCUGUGUUUUAAUUUUCAUUAACUUAAAAGUGUUUUCUUCUUUCCCUUUUAAUUUCUUCAACUCAGCUGUUAUUUAGAAGUGUUUUAGAUAGUUUCCAAAUAUUUGGGAAUUUUAUAGAUAGCUGUCUGUUAUUGAUUUCUAAUUUAAUUUCAUAUUCUCCAGGAAAUAUAUUUUGUAUGACUUGAGUUCUUUUAUUUAUUUAUUUUUUUUAAUUUUUUUUUUCAACGUUUAUUUAUUUUUGGGACAGAGAGAGACAGAGCAUGAACGGGGGAGGGGCAGAGAGAGAGGGAGACAUAGAAUCAGAAACAGGCUCCAGGCUCUGAGCCAUCAGCCCAGAGCCCGACGCGGGGCUCGAACUCACGGACCGCAAGAUCUUGACCUGGCUGAAGUCGGACGCUUAACCGACUGCGCCACCCAGGCGCCCCUACUUGAGUUCUUUUAAAUGUAUUAAGAUUUGUUUAGGUCUCAGAACUUGGUCUAUCUUGGUAAAUGAUCCAAAUAGUGUUAAGUGCUUUAUACUUUUUUAUAUUUAAUCUUUACAACAAUGCUUACUAUUAUUCCCAUUUUAAUGGAGAGGAAAUAGGUGAUACUGUAUCCCCAUUUUAAAGAGAAAAGGCUGAGGAUCAAUCAAUUUAAAUAGCUAUUUAAUGCCAGACAGCUAUUAAGUACUAGAACUAGAAUGUGCUUCCAGGUCUGACAACAACACCAAGCUAUUAACCACUCUUCCACAAUUCCUCAAUAGCCAUUUCUCAUUGCGAUAAGCAGGGGAAAACCACUUCUGCUCAAGAGAGUAUGAGUUCAGAGGUUAAUUCCCUCUCUCUGAAAGUUCUGGGAUCUAUCUCCUAAAUUGCUCCUUCCUAGCAUAAACACAAUUGCUUCAGUUGUUGCAGACAUAAAGGUGGAUUUUGUGUGAUGGUAAGAGAUGCUCUAAUCCCCAACUACUAAUUUGAGUCAGAACCUUGCUUCUGAGCCCUGCUGUUGGCUGAUGCUCAAUUACUAGGUCACUCUAAGAACACCCAAGAACAAAGAUUGACAUAAGGUACUUUUGCCUCUUUGCAGGUAGCUGGGCAGGGCUGAUUGCCCCUCAGAGUCCAAUAAUACCGAGGGAGGCUUUGGGCUAGCAGACUCUGUUUGUAUGUUCCUUGAAUUUACGUAAUACCUUCAAGUCAAUCUGGAUUGAAAUGACUAUUUCCUUAGUCUUUUCUUGUAUUUAACUGUCAGGCAUUAAAAGCAUCAUCUUAUUGCUAGUAAACAUGGUUACAGUGCUUGUUCACUGGGACUGAUGCCAACCUGGGAGCCUAUUAGUCCAGUUCAACAAAAGAAUUUUUGGUCAUCUGCAGCUCCGAUUAUCCAAGUGAUCUAGCCUCUUUCAUACUCUUAUUACCACAGUAAUUUGACUCGGCUGUUAAUGAUCUUUCUGCCUGCAUCCAAGGCCCUGCACAAUGGGUUCAUGUGAAUAAAUGUCUUCCAGGGGCAUGUUCCACUUAUAUACAAAGUCAAUUUAACUUCUACAGUUAUUUGCAGGCACCCAAAUUGUUCAUAAUUGACUACUUCCUAAUGCCACUUAGCCUAAAAUCUGAAAGGAAAGGAUUGUGCUGCCUAAGUGAGCUGCUCAUUCCAUGGUGCCAUUUCUGCACCACUUGAAAUGCUAAAUGGUCAGCACCAAAGAAAGGGAAAGAACUCCUGGGGAUCUUCUUUGAGCACCUAAAUCUCUAACCUUCCACUGAAGUAGACUGGCUUUUACAUGCUAAUUAUUAGCCUGCAGAUUGCUAAGGAGUUAAAACUCUUUGGUAAGAAUAUAUAGUCCCCAGAAGUUACUCUGUGGUGUGUAGCAUCUGAUUUAAAUUUCUUCUGAGGAACGUCGCAAAGGAUGUAGGAUGGAGUUCUACAGCAACUCCAAAGUCUAAAGAAACCACUAUUCUAGUUGACAGGUAAUUGCUUAGGUCUUUGCUUUUUCCUAAAUGGAAACUACAUGGUUGAAAGAAAUCUUUCCUUAAGAUUUUGCAAAUUUUUGACAAGUCACUAGUUAGCAAUGGCAAAUCAGUUUUGGCUUAUGUCAGUUGAUUGGCUGGCAUUAGAUUUUUGGGGUUCAGUUUUGAGAAUGAUUCUGAGAUCAUUUUCUUUUUUCUUUCUUUGUUUCCCUUCCUUUUCUUUUCUUUUCUUUUCUUUUUAGAGAGAGAGAAUGUGCAUGCUAGGAGCAGAGGGUGAGGGAGAGACAGAAUCUUAAGCAGGCUCCAUGCCAGGCUUGAUAUCAUGACUGUGAGAUCAUGACCUGAGCCAAAAUCAAAAGUCGGACACUCGACCAACUGAGCCAACCAGACACCCCUGAGGCCAUAUUCUUGAUCAAUGGGAAAGAGUAAGGUGGUGAUUGAUUAGUGAUGUCUGUCAUGAACACAGUUAUAAGGAAUAAUGGCAUACCCAGAAUGCUAGACUCUACACUAGGCACUGGGAAUAUAGGAGUGAACAAGACAGAUACAGCUGAUGAACUCACAAAACUCACAGGGUGGGAAUGAUGACUAAGGUCACUUCUUAUUUUGUCAUUUUAAAAUUGUAUGGUCCUUUUUCUGUCUACCACUGUCACUAUUAAUGAAUUAUUGUAAAAUAGCCACAAUGCCAAUUAAGACACAGUUAUCUAGUAGGAGAACCUGAUAAGAGGAAAGGUGUUCAUUACAUCAAGUAAGACUUAUCUUGUAUUCUGUUCUCUUUCUCUUCAAGAGCGCACAGGUCAAGAAGACCUUCAUCUGAUGCAGAUGCUCCUUGCCAAACCAGUACAUUUCUCCAUGGGGCUAGGUGGCUGCAAUCCUAGCCAGGGUCAACUCUUGUUUAUGGAGAAUGGAAAACAGUGGACAGAAGAAGAUUAUCUGCGGAGGUGGAAUGGUGGAUUGCUUCUUCUCUGGGGCCACAUGAGAAGGCAAUUCCUGAGAGAGCAAUCAGACCAGAACAAAGUGCAUUCACCUUCUUGUUAACUGAUCAACAUCUGUUUCCAGAUGUUUCCCUGUGCUGGUUAUAUAGUUUGUGCUCAUUCAGAUGCAAAGCCUCUCUCCGUGUAGCUCAGCAGAUGCCAUCAACAGCUCUUCAGUCUGGUAGGGAUAGGCUCUGUCUGCAAGAGUCUCGUAACUGCAACCUAGCAAUGCUGGCACCAAAGUCAGAGUUCGGAACUCACUGCAAAAGGCACCCCCUCGGUGCACAGAUGAUGCAGCGGAUCAGUGUCUUUCUCACCAUGGUGACAGCAGUUGACAUGGAAACAGUUGUUCUCGCUUAUAUACAUAAUCAUUGCCCCUCACUCAGGCUUGCCAAAUGUUGAAAAUAUCUGUCUGCCCAGCAUUCAUUUCUUCCAUCUCUAGGAAAUGCACCAAGAUUAUCUUUUGGGAAAUCAUCUGGACUGAACAUCCAAACCACUUGUUUUGGAUAUUAUUUGUCCAAACUCAGCAUGUGACCAAUACCUGGUAAAACUGAGCCAUAGGAAUGUGUAACCAAGCCAUUCUGAGCCCAUGAGUGUCAGGUCCAGAUUUUGCUAGAACGAUUGGGAAAGUGACAGGGUUUUGCCUGACAUUAUAUGCUGAUGGAAAAGAAGCCUGUGGCGGCUGGAAGCUGUCUGUACCACCAGCUGUGUAGAACAUGCUUGAAAAUAAAGAAAAUUUAGAGGAAAAAAAGAGCUGAGGAGCUAAGAGAGACACAAUAUGCUGAUAAAAUAUGAACACCUGCAUGCAGCCUUACUUGAACUUAAAUACACCUUUUGACUUUUCAGGUAUAUGAACCAAUUUUUGCCCCUUUUGCUUAAGGAAGUUUGAGUUAGGCUUCUGUCACUUGCACCCACAAAAGUCC